rnacentral:piRNA from 1 species
UCCAGGUCGAGCAGUUAGGCCGCGAGCGA